rnacentral:rRNA from 1 species
AACAGGGAUUGCCCUAGUAACGGCGAGUGAAGCGGCAAUAGCUCAAAUUUGAAAUCUGGCUCUUUCAGAGUCCGAGUUGUAAUUUGCAGAGGGCGCUUUGGCAUUGGCAGCGGUCCAAGUUCUUUGGAACAGGACGUCACAGAGGGUGAGAAUCCCGUACGUGGUCGCUAGCCUUUGCCGUGUAAAGCCCCUUCGACGAGUCGAGUUGUUUGGGAAUGCAGCUCUAAAUGGGAGGUAAAUUUCUUCUAAAGCUAAAUACUGGCCAGAGACCGAUAGCGCACAAGUAGAGUGAUCGAAAGAUGAAAAGCACUUUGGAAAGAGAGUCAAAUAGCACGUGAAAUUGUUGAAAGGGAAGCGCUUGCAGCCAGACUUGCCUGUAGUUGCUUAUCUGGACUUUUGUCCAGUGCACUCUUCUGCGGGCAGGCCAGCAUCAGUUUGGGCGGUUGGAUAAAGGUCUCUGUCAUGUACCUCUCUUCGGGGAGGCCUUAUAGGGGAGACGACAUGCAACCAGCCUGGACUGAGGUCCGCGCAUUUGCUAGGAUGCUGGCGUAAUGGCUGUAAGCGGCCCGUCUUGAAACACGGACCAAGGAGUCUAACAUCUAUGCGAGUGUUUGGGUGUCAAGCCCAGACGCGUAAUGAAAGUGAACGGAGGUGGGAACCUUUUAGGUGCACCAUCGACCGAUCCUGAUGUCUUCGGAAGGAUUUGAGUAAGAGCAUGGCUGUUGGGACCCGAAAGAUGGUGAACUAUGCUUGAAUAGGGUGAAGCCAGAGGAAACUCUGGUGGAGGCUCGCAGCGGUUCUGACGUGCAAAUCGAUCGUCAAAUUUGGGCAUA